GAAAGGCGUAGGCGAUGGACAACAGGUCGAUAUUCCUGUACCGCCGUACCACCGUUCGAACGAUGGGGGGACGCAGAAGGAUAAGGUGACCGUGCGACUGGAAGUGCACGGACAAGCAGCGAGGCCGUCGGGUUGGCAAAUCCGCCCGGCAUACAAGGUUGAGCUGUGACGUGGAGCCCGUAGGGCGAAGCACCGGAUUUCACGCUGCCAAGAAAAGCCUCUAGUGAGGAGGUCGGCGCCAGUACCGCAAACCGACACAGGUAGGCGAGAUGAGAAUUCUAAGACGCGCGGGAUAACUCUCGUUAAGGAACUCGGCAAAAUGGUCCCGUAACUUCGGGAGAAGGGACGCUUAUGGCAACAUAAGCCGCAGUGAAUAGGCCCAAACGACUGUUUAGCAAAAACACAGGUCUCUGCUAAAUCGCAAGAUGAAGUAUAGGGGCUGACGCCUGCCCGGUGCUGGAAGGUUAAGGGGAUGUGUCAUCGCAAGAGAAGCACUGAACCGAAGCCCCAGUAAACGGCGGCCGUAACUAUAACGGUCCUAAGGUAGCGAAAUUCCUUGUCGGGUAAGUUCCGACCCGCACGAAAGGCGUAACGAUUUGGGCACUGUCUCAACGAGAGACCCGGUGAAAUCAUAGUACCUGUGAAGAUGCAGGUUACCCGCGACAGGACGGAAAGACCCCAUGGAGCUUUACUACAGCCUGAUAUUG
rnacentral:rRNA from 1 species